AGCUCGGCCAGGAUCCCGUGGGCUUCCUCCAGAACGGCGCUGACCUGGUUCCACACGGCUGUCUCGGCCUCUGUAGGCUGGGCAUCUGAGACGAGAUGAAGGAAAAGAGGACGGGCAGAGAGUCAAUGUGGGAAGGUUUCAUCCAACUAGCUAAUGUUGCAAGAGCGGGACUAGAGAGAGUCUGAAAACAAGGAACGACACCCACGACAAAACUCCAUCACACCAUCAGCAAAACCGGUCAAUUCUCCCUUACUGAUGAAUGGACGGACCAUGUGACACGCAAAAGAGGACAAAAUGAAGAAGAAAGGUAAG